rnacentral:rRNA from 1 species
AACGACUCUCGGCAACGGAUAUCUCGGCUCUCGCAUCGAUGAAGAACGUAGCGAAAUGUGAUACUUGGUGUGAAUUGCAGAAUCCCGUGAACCAUCGAGUCUUUGAACGCAAGUUGCGCCCGAAGCCAUCAGGUCGAGGGCACGUCUGCCUGGGCGUCACACG